rnacentral:rRNA from 1 species
AACGAACGCUGGCGGCGCGCCUAACACAUGCAAGUCGAACGAGAGACUCUUCGGAGUAGUAAAGUGGCAAACGGGUGAGGAAUACAUGGGUAACCCACCCUUGAGAAGGGAAUAACCCGCCGAAAGGUGAGCUAAUACCCUAUACGCUACCGCCCCCAUGGGGGAUGUAGGAAAGCUAAACCGUGGGUUUGGCACUCAAGGACGGGCUCAUGUCCUAUCAGCUUGUUGGUAGGGUAACGGCCUACCAAGGCAACGACGGGUAGCUGGUCUGAGAGGAUGAUCAGCCACACUGGCACUGAGACACGGGCCAGACUCCUACGGGAGGCAGCAGUGAGGAAUAUUGCGCAAUGGGCGAAAGCCUGACGCAGCGACGCCGCGUGGGGGAUGAAGGUUCUCGGAUUGUAAACCCCUUUCGUGAGGAAAGAGAAAGUGGGUAACCACUUAGACGGUACCUCAAGAAGAAGCCACGGCUAACUUCGUG